rnacentral:rRNA from 1 species
UAAGGAAUAUUGGUCAAUGGGCGCAAGCCUGAACCAGCCAUGCCGCGUGCAGGAAGACGGCCCUAUGGGUUGUAAACUGCUUUUGUCAGGGAAUAAACCCCCGCUCGUGAGCGGGGCUGAAGGUACCUGAAGAAUAAGCAUCGGCUAACUCCGUGCCAGCAGCCGCGGUAAUACGGAGGAUGCAAGCGUUAUCCGGAUUCAUUGGGUUUAAAGGGUGCGCAGGCGGAUUGGUAAGUCAGGGGUGAAAUCCCACAGCUCAACUGUGGAACUGCCUUUGAUACUGUCAGUCUAGAGUAUAGUUGAAGUGGGCGGAAUGUGUCACGUAGCGGUGAAAUGCUUAGAUAUGACACAGAACACCGAUCGCGAAGGCGGCUCGCUAAGCUAAAACUGACGCUCAUGCACGAAAGCGUGGGGAUCAAACAG